ACAUAGUUAGUUCAUCAUCCGUGGACAGGAUGGCAAUACGAAGAGAGGAGGUGUUUCUACUCUCAUAAAGCCCAGCGGAUCGGGAGGGCGUUGCACCGAACGGCAAUAAAACGAAACCAAGUCCCAAAUGAAAGCUUGAAGGGUAGGUGGCACGGGUUCUCCUUCUCGUCGCUUCCUCCUCCGCCCGUUCUGCUCGUUAGUUCCAUUUGUUCAUUCGAGUCGAACGAUUCCUGUUUAGAUUCAAUUGUUUUAAAUGGGAUCAACGGAUAAAGCCAUUGAAAUAGAUGUGUUGGAGAGACGAUUGUUGUCAGGUUCAGUUUCAAAUGAAUAUUCUGAAGUUGAUGAAGACACAAUUCUCUACACUGCAUCUUUUGAUGAGAUGGAAGAUAACUAUGUUAAAUACCAAACAGCUCAAUGGAUUCUUUAUUCCUUGCUUUUGGUACUGGCAUGGGGAAUUGGGGUUUUAAUGUUGCUAUAUUUGCCAGUACGAAGAUAUGUCUUACGGAAGGACUUCCGUUCUCGCAAGCUAUAUGUGACUCCUAAUGCUAUUGUGUACAAGGUUUCAAGACCAGUACCUUUUCCUUGUUUUGGAGUUUUGAAGAAAGAGAAGCAUGUGCUGCUAGCAUCAGUUGCAGAUAUAGUUAUUGAACAAGGAUACCUUCAAUCCUUCUUUGGGAUAUAUUCUGUCAGAAUACAUAAUGAAGGUGUAAGAAGGAUUGCGAAUGAUGAUUUUCAGAUCCAAGGAGUUUCUGAUCUAAGGGCUUUCCGUAAGGCUAUUUUAAUGCAUCUUUCAAAUAUAAGGAGUGAUGGUUUCAACAGGCAAACUUCUGUAAAUGAAGAUCCUCAGACAUUUGGUUCUUGUCCUCCAUCUGGUUCUUGGAUAGCCCCGCCUGGAGAUCUGAUAUUGCAGAGACUUGAGGAGGUUGGAAGUUCAAUAAAGAAGGUGCAGACUUUAAUUGAGAAGAAGCCCGAAGCAUCAGAAAUCAUGGACUAACAUCAUCAAAGUCUGUGAGCUGUCCUGCUUAUUCAUGUGGCAAUCUAGAAACUUGUUAAUUGAUAUAGGAAGAUGCUUCUAAGGAGUGGUGUUUAAUUGCAUCAAAUUGUUCGUUUGUCAUUACCUUUUGAAGUUGUGCUAUCUUUGUUCUCCUGAACAUUUAGCAUCUAAGUAGUUGUUCUCUGAUGAUUGAAGUCCCAUAGGCCCAUGAUAUCCUUCCCAAAGCUCCUGUUGGACAUCCACUUCCUGGUGUCCUUUUCAAUUGAGACAACAUAGAAGAUAUCAACGUGUUUAGCUUUUCAAGUAGCCAGAACAGUAGAUUCUUGAUUUUAGGCAUCAUCACCCCUACGGAGCAUGAUGUUUUUCUCUUGUGCACUUACCGUCUUCCUUUUGGCCGUUACAGGAUGAUGAUGGGUGUGCAAUUGUGCUCUCCUGGUGCUGAUGUAUCCACUUCUGAUCAUAAUAACCAUCUUCACCACCCGAAGAGGUCAAUCCUGCUUAACUCUUUACACUUGCAUCUUGGUUGUGACCAUCUUAGAAUAUUUUGUUCUUGCAAAUGUAAGAACCUAGAAACAUAAAAGAUAAUCCAUGAAGCUAUAUAGAAGAUAUCUUUUGACU